rnacentral:sRNA from 1 species
GUCGUCGCAAAAUCGGCGACCGGGUGUGGAAGCCCGACCAGCAGUAGGCGCAGCAGCGCCCAUAACUCCAUUGCAGGCGCUUUUUUU